rnacentral:rRNA from 1 species
AUGAACGCUGGCGGCGUGCUUAACACAUGCAAGUCGAACGAUGAAGCCCAGCUUGCUGGGUGGAUUAGUGGCGAACGGGUGAGUAACACGUGAGUAACCUGCCCUUAACUCUGGGAUAAGCCUGGGAAACUGGGUCUAAUACCGGAUAGGAGCGCCUACCGCAUGGUGGGUGUUGGAAAGAUUUAUCGGUUUUGGAUGGACUCGCGGCCUAUCAGCUUGUUGGUGAGGUAAUGGCUCACCAAGGCGACGACGGGUAGCCGGCCUGAGAGGGUGACCGGCCACACUGGGACUGAGACACGGCCCAGACUCCUACGGGAGGCAGCAGUGGGGAAUAUUGCACAAUGGGCGAAAGCCUGAUGCAGCGACGCCGCGUGAGGGAUGACGGCCUUCGGGUUGUAAACCUCUUUCAGUAGGGAAGAAGCGAAAGUGACGGUACCUGCAGAAGAAGCACCGGCUAACUACAUG